UACGUAGGGUGCAAGCGUUAAUCGGAAUUACUGGGCGUAAAGCGUGCGCAGGCGGUUUUGUAAGUCUGUCGUGAAAGCCCCGGGCUCAACCUGGGAAUUGCGAUGGAGACUGCAAGGCUUGAAUCUGGCAGAGGGGGUAGAAUUCCACGUGUAGCAGUGAAAUGCGUAGAGAUGUGGAGGAACACCGAUGGCGAAGGCAGCCCCUGGGUCAAGAUGACGCUCAUGCACGAAAGCGUGGGGAGCAAACAGGA
rnacentral:rRNA from 1 species